rnacentral:rRNA from 1 species
UACGUAGGGUGCGAGCGUUGUCCGGAAUUAUUGGGCGUAAAGAGCUUGUAGGCGGUUUGUCGCGUCUGCUGUGAAAAUCCGGGGCUCAACCCCGGACUUGCAGUGGGUACGGGCAGGCUAGAGUGUGGUAGGGGGAGACGUGGAAUUCCUGGUGUAGCGGUGAAAUGCGCAGAUAUCAGGAGGAACACCAAUGGCGAAGGCAGCACUCUGGGGACGUGACUGACGCUGAGACGCGAAAGCGUGGGGAGCAAACAGG